rnacentral:rRNA from 1 species
UACAGAGGUCUCAAGCGUUGUUCGGAUUCAUUGGGCGUAAAGGGUGCGUAGGCGGCGCGGUAAGUCGGGUGUGAAAUCUCGGAGCUUAACUCCGAAACUGCAUUCGAUACUGCCGUGCUUGAGGACUGGAGAGGAGACUGGAAUUUACGGUGUAGCGGUGAAAUGCGUAGAUAUCGUAAGGAAGACCAGUGGCGAAGGCGGGUCUCUGGACAGUUCCUGACGCUGAGGCACGAAAGGUCAGGGGAGCAAAACGGG